rnacentral:misc_RNA from 1 species
CCGAGUGCGGGCCCUCGCGGCCCAACCUCCCACCCUUGUCUCUGUACACCUGUUGCUUUGGCGGGCCCACCGGGGCCACCUGGUCGCCGGGGGACGCACGUCCCCGGGCCCGCGCCCGCCGAAGCGUUCUGCGAACCCUGAUGAAGAUGGGCUGUCUGAGUACCAUGAAAAUUGUCA